UGUGUAGGCGGUCCCCUAAGUUUGGCGUGAAAUCUCCCGGCUCAACCGGGAGGGUGCGCCGAAAACUGGAGGACUAGAGUGCGGGAUGGGAGAGUGGAAUUCCUGGUGUAGCGGUGAAAUGCGUAGAUAUCAGGAGGAACACCGGUGGUGUAGACGGCUCUCUGGACCGUAACUGACGCUGAGACACGAAAGCGUGGGUAGCAAACAGGAUUAGAUACCCUGGUAGUCCACGCCCUAAACGAUGCAUAUUUGGUGUAGGUCAUUCAGUUGAUCUGUGCCGGAGCUAACGCGUUAAAUAUGCCGCCUGGGGAGUACAGUCGCAAGGCUGAA
rnacentral:rRNA from 1 species